CUACGGGGCGCAGCAGUGAGGAAUUUUGCGCAAUGGGCGAAAGCCUGACGCAGCAACGCCGCGUGAGUGAUGAAGGCUUUCGGGUCGUAAAGCUCUGUCAAGUGGGAAGAACCUGUAAAGUGCCAAUACCACUUUGCACUGACGGUACCACUGAAGGAAGCACCGGCUAACUCCGUGCCAGGCAGCCGCGGUAAUACGGGGGGGUGCAAGCGUUACUCGGAAUCAUUGGGCGUAAAGGGCGCGCAGGCGGCCCAGUAAGUCAGAUGUGAAAGCCCGGGGCUCAACCCCGGAAGUGCAUUUGAUACUGUUGGGCUCGAGUAUGGGAGAGGAAAGUGGAAUUCCUGGUGUAGAGGUGAAAUUCGUAGAUAUCAGGAGGAACACCUGUGGCGAAGGCGACUUUCUGGACCAAUACUGACGCUGAGGCGCGAAGGCGUGGGUAGCAAACAGGAUUAGAUACCCGCGUAGUC
rnacentral:rRNA from 1 species